UCUGGCGGCGAGUGGCGAACGGGUGAGUAAUGUAUCGGAACGUGCCCAGUAGCGGGGGAUAACUACUCGAAAGAGUAGCUAAUACCGCAUACGCCCUACGGGGGAAAGGGGGGGAUCUUAGGACCUCUCACUAUUGGAGCGGCCGAUAUCGGAUUAGCUAGUUGGUGGGGUAAAGGCCUACCAAGGCUGCGAUCCGUAGCUGGUUUGAGAGGACGACCAGCCACACUGGGACUGAGACACGGCCCAGACUCCUACGGGAGGCAGCAGUGGGGAAUUUUGGACAAUGGGGGCAACCCUGAUCCAGCCAUCCCGCGUGUGCGAUGAAGGCCUUCGGGUUGUAAAGCACUUUUGGGAUGAACAAGACCCGGUGAAUACAUUCCCUGGUCUUGGAAACACCGCUGCAGAAUAAGCACCGGCUAACUACGUGCCAGCAGCCGCGGUAAUACGUAGGGUGCAAGCGUUAAUCGGAAUUACUGGGCGUAAAGCGUGCGCAGGCGGUUCGGAAAGAAAGAUGUGAAAUCCCAGGGCUUAACCUUGGAACUGCAUUUUUAACUGUCGAGCUAGAGUGCGUCAGAGGGGGGUGGAAUUCCGCGUGUAGCAGUGAAAUGCGUAGAUAUGCGGAGGAACACCGAUGGCGAAGGCAGCC
rnacentral:rRNA from 1 species